rnacentral:lncRNA from 1 species
AUGAGGUCCUCCAAAGAGCAAGUGGCUUUUGAUAACAUGGCAUGGGAUAGGAGAAAGUACAACUGCAGCCACUAUGGCAGAGCACAGGAAACCAGGGGUCAUUGCAGCACCGUUUGCAGGCCAAUUUCCCGAGAAGAUGAGCACACCACACCUCACAGCACAACCUAUCCUUUAGGUAAGUAUGCCUUUUGGGAGGGGAGGGAGGAGGGAAUUAAAGAGGCAAAUGAUACUGGGUUAACGUUUGCUGGUUUCAGCUACUGAAUUCUGGAACCUUAUUUUUGUACAUUUUAGUUACUUCACAGUCAGAGUACAGUGACAUCUUUUUCUCUAAGACAUCAGAGGCUACACCUAUACACCUGGCUACACCCAGCAGGGCUAGGACCUUUUCUGGAGCUAUGUGGGCAAAUGGCACAGCACAGCUCCUGUCCACAUGGCCAGACAAACCCCUGUUGUGUAACAGGAUGGGAACCAGCUGGUGGCCUCUGCUAUGCCCUGAGAUAUGCCCAGGCAUUGCAAUGCGGAUAGCUGGUUGUUACAGGCAAAUCACUAGAAGAGGGAUGACAGCCAAUAAAACAAAGCAGACAUAGCUGCA